CUCAGCAGAGCUCUGGGGAGUCUGCACCAUGGCCUGGACCCCACUCCUCCUCCUCUUCCCUCUCCUCCUCCACUGCACAGGGUCUCUCUCCCAGCCUGUGCUGACUCAAUCAUCCUCUGCCUCUGCUUCCCUGGGAUCCUCGGUCAAGCUCACCUGCACUCUGAGCAGUGGGCACAGUAGCUACAUCAUCGCAUGGCAUCAGCAGCAGCCAGGGAAGGCCCCUCGGUACUUGAUGAAGCUUGAAGGUAGUGGAAGCUACAACAAGGGGAGCGGAGUUCCUGAUCGCUUCUCAGGCUCCAGCUCUGGGGCUGACCGCUACCUCACCAUCAACAACCUCCAGUCUGAGGAUGAGGCUGAUUAUUACUGUGAGACCUGGGGCAGUAACACUCACACAGUGAUACAGGCAGAUGAGGAAGUGGGACAAAAUCCUCAACCUGCUCAGGCUAUUGUUCAGUGACAAUUUUUAAUUUUAAAACAUUUUCUGUAUGUAAAAAAUCUAUCUGGAUGCAUCCUCUGAUUUAGAACAAUUUUACUCACAAUUUCCCAUUUAAUGUUU